UGGGGAAUUUUGGACAAUGGGCGAAAGCCUGAUCCAGCAAUGCCGCGUGUGUGAAGAAGGCCUUCGGGUUGUAAAGCACUUUUGUCCGGAAAGAAAUCCUCUGGGUUAAUACCUCGGGGGGAUGACGGUACCGGAAGAAUAAGCACCGGCUAACUACGUGCCAGCAGCCGCGGUAAUACGUAGGGUGCAAGCGUCAAUCGGAAUUACUGGGCGUAAAGCGUGCGCAGGCGGUUUUGUAAGACGGAUGUGAAAUCCCCGGGCUUAACCUGGGAACUGCAUUCGUGACUGCAAGGCUAGAGUAUGGGCAGAGGGGGGUAGAAUUCCACGUGUAGCAGUGAAAUGCGUAGAGAUGUGGAGGAAUACCGAUGGCGAAGGCAGCCCCCUGGGCCAAUACUGACGCUCAUGCACGAAAGCGUGGGGAGCAAAACAGGAUUAGAUACCCUGGUAGUCCACGCCCUAAACGAUGUCAACUAGUUGUUGGGGAUUCAUUUCCUUAGUAACGUAGCUAACGCGUGAAGUUGACCGCCUGGGGAGUACGGUCGCAAGAUUAAAACUCAAAGGAAUUGACGGGG
rnacentral:rRNA from 1 species